UGUCACCGCUUCCAUGCCACACCUCUGCCAUCCCAACAGGGGAACAAUGAGUUGCUGCGUGACAUGGGCAUCAGCACCGUGAUCUCUCUCCUUGGCCAGCUGAGGGAGGAAAUCAGGGAGCUGAAGGGGGAAAACAGGGAGAUGAAGGGGAUGAUAGGAAGGCUGGAGCAAGAGGUCAGGGCCCAAAGGAGAGAGAUGGGGAGACAAGACACACCCCAGACAUCACCCCUUACCAAGCUCCCACUCUCCACCAUGGAGGAGUUUUUGGCAGCA